GCCCAGGUGGCGGAAUUGGUAGACGCGUUGGUCUCAAACACCAAUGUCAGCAAUGACGUGCCGGUUCGACUCCGGCCCUGGGUA
rnacentral:tRNA from 1 species